AGUGAACGCUGGCGGUAGGCCUAACACAUGCAAGUAGAACGGCAGCACAGUAAGAGCUUGCUCUUACGGGUGGCGAGUGGCGGACGGGUGAGGAAUACAUCGGAAUCUACUUUUUCGUGGGGGAUAACGUAGGGAAACUUACGCUAAUACCGCAUACGACCUACGGGUGAAAGCAGGGGAUCUUCGGACCUUGCGCGAUUGAAUGAGCCGAUGUCGGAUUAGCUAGUUGGCGGGGUAAAGGCCCACCAAGGCGACGAUCCGUAGCUGGUCUGAGAGGAUGAUCAGCCACACUGGAACUGAGACACGGUCCAGACUCCUACGGGAGGCAGCAGUGGGGAAUAGUGGACAAUGGGCGCAAGCCUGAUCCAGCCAUACCGCGUGGGUGAAGAAGGCCUUCGGGUUGUAAAGCCCUUUUGUUGGGAAAGAAAAGCAGCAGGUUAAUACCCCGCUGUUCUGACGGUACCCAAAGAAUAAGCACCGGCUAACUUCGUG
rnacentral:rRNA from 1 species